UUUGUGGUCAUAUUUUUGUAGUAGAAUAGCCCAAACAACAUCAAAAUCUAUUUUAACUAUAGCAGGGCAGAUAAAAUAGUCUGGCACAAGCCCCUGUAUUUUCAAAGUGCCAAAGGAUUAUGUGUUGAGCUCCCCUUGGAUUGCAGUGGGAGCCACAUGGCUAAAUCCUGCUUUACUGCUUUGGAAAUUCAGGGCUGUGCCAGAUAUGACAUGGCUACUCGCUGGGCCAAAAUCACUGCCCCACCCCAGUAGUUUGGAUUAUGCAUCCUUUGUUUUAUUUGGGUUAUCUCAUUGGAUAUGUAAAAUGAACUACUGGAUUCUUUUCUUUGUGAAACGUCGGCAAAGAGAUGAAAGAGUUUUUUCCUCUUAGUUUGGAAUGAGAAAGAGUUUGUCUUGAGACAGCGUUUCCACUCAAAUAAAAAAUACCUUCAAGUGUGAGUGAGCUGCAGAACCUUAAAACAGCAAAAGAGAGAGUACUAAUCUUUCCAUUUCUUUAAGUAUAGUUUCAGCCAUCCCCCCAUUCCUGUAGCUAUGUCCAGUUUCAACCAAACAAAGCAAUGUUAGCUAACAGGCACUAUUGGUUUCAGAUGCUAACGCAGAGAUAGUUCGUCACCGUUCUAUUUUGUGGUCAUUUUCCCAGUGUAUUUGUUGAGCACCAAAACUGGAAAUACAUUUAACUAAGAUUGUCUGUGCUUGUUUUCCACUAAGUGUACUGUUCACAAUGUUAUGCACAUGAAUGUAUGUGUCUGCGUUUAAAGAAGUGUAUAAAAUGUAAUUUAUAUAUUUAUGUUUCAGUGGGAUGCCAAUAAUGUUGCUCCGUUCCUUUUUUUUUUUUUGUCUGAAAGAUAUCUAAUGAAAAAGAAAUCAUAUAUCCAUUAAAAUCAUGUAGAUGAAAAGCAUUAUGUGACCCACUCAGACACUGUGCAGGUAUGAAAGGACGUCGAAGUCACUUAAGUGGAAUAAUUUGCAAAAAACCUUUUGGAGAUUCCUAUGGUCACACUGGCAUAAGAGCUUGCAUUGAAAUGUGUGGGCCAGAUUCCCUGGAGUAACUCUGUUGACUAUAAUGGAGCUCUGCUGAUUUACACCACCAGUGAGUCUGGCCUGUGUUAAGUUCUCGGGAAGAAAGUAAGCUAAGAGGCAUGCAUUUUGCUGGUGCCAGCAAAUAAGUGUGUUAUGCCAAAUUCAGCAAACCAGGAGAGAAUGAAGACUGAAUGGAGUCUUUUCCAGUAGUCGUUUGUUUGAGGCUUGUAGUGUCGAGUUAAUUUUGUUACCAGGAAUGAAACGCACAUGAGCCUUUGCUCUCAAGCACAAUGUUUAUAUGGCAUGCAGCAGAUAACACAAAAAUCUCAGGGCUAUAUUCUCAGCUAGUAUUAAUUGGCAAAUGUUUUUACUUCAGCCGCCCCUAAGCUAAUUUACAUCAGAUGAGGAUCCAGUCCACAGUUUUAAAGCACGAGGAGCAGUGUCAUGACAUUCGUGCCAUUUGCUGUCGCCCGGCUGAGAUAUUACCCGGAGCCUUGUGAGCAUCGCAGGCCGUGCUGUUGGGCCUUCUGUGAGCUGGCAGAUAACAACCAGAAGGAACAGUAACUGUAAAGGUUGUGACACAGGAGACAUUAAUUCAAAGUUAAGUUGGACAUUUCAAGGGCCAUAUCCUCAGCUGGUGUAAAUCACCGUUGCUCUGUUGCCUGCAAUGGAGCGGUACCAGCUUACACCACUUGAGGGGCUGGUCCUUCAUUCUUGCUCAUCCCUUUCACUCCUCGGUCCUGCAGGGAUCUCAGAUUGUCGUGUACUGUUAAUGUAAUCCUGUGUUCUCUAAUACUUAAGCACAAUAAGUGAAUAUAAGAAUGAGUGUCAGACUUAACUUUGAAUGUCCGAGCUCUGAAAUGGUUUGUUUCACCAUUGUGGCUGUAAAUUAAACAGUUCUCUGUGCAUCUGUGAAUGCCGUGUCAUACCUUCUUCCACUGUCUGUUGGAGUUGGACUCUGCCUGGGCUUCUGAAGUGCAACACUUGGAGCGACAGAGGGAAGGGUGUGAGCAGUUGGAGCCGCCAGAUACAUGAUUGAUAACUGCUGUUUGUGGGGUGGGGUGCCAGCAGGGUGCUUAAGGAGGGACCCGAAGGUGGUAGUUGUUUGAAGUCCCGUUCCCAUGCAGUACAUCCAUACCUUGUUGUUUUUGUCCUUGCACAAACUAGAUGGAGGCUUGGGGGGCAAAAUGUUCUGUUUACAUUCUGCAGUUGCUUCACCCGUCCAGAGAUUCAGAAGUUGUUGGUCUGAUGUUCUCCUUUUUGCAGUCUUUUCUGAUCAAAAAGCAUAUGUGGAGGGAAGUGUCUGAAUACACCUCACUGUCAUCAUGCGGUGCACGACUGCUGAUUCUCUAGUUACUUAAUUCUGUGCUCCAACUUUCGGAGCUGCCCUUCAGUUGUUAUUGCGUGAAAUCAAAGAUUAUGUGCCAGUUUUCCUUCCUCUUCUGCCAUCUUUUGUCCUACUUGGCAUCUGCUUUGUUAGCACAUGGUGACUACAGGCAGUUGCUCCUCUCCAGCCCUGGAGGUUCCUAGGCAGCUCCAGAUCUUCUGUGUCUUUGAGCUUAGGCCUUUUAUUCCACUUGGAACAGCAUCUCAUGUAUCUCCUCCCUCCAGUGGGCUGCAGCAUUCCAGCUAUGAGGUUCUCUUGGCUGUCGUCCUCAGGUCCAUAUUCGCCUCCUGUGGGCUGUUUUCCAGCUCCUCUCUGCCUGACUUUCCCAUCUCUCUGUUCCUCUCAGAAGUAAUUUUCCUUUCCUUGAUUCUUUCUCAUCACAUAUCUCUUUGCUCUCCCUCUGCCUGAGAGAACAGUCUUUGAUCUGUUUAUCUUGAAAUCAAUUGCUUUAUCUAGGCAUGUGCCCUGAGAUCUGUCUCCCGGGCUUACCAGCCUGUAACUGACCACACACGUGAAAAACAAAUGCUCUUAUAUAGACACAUGUUUAUGGAGAGUAGAAGAUUCAUCUUUGCAUGUGGCAAAAUAGUGCUGAAGGCUCCCUUAGAAGCUCUGUCCAAUUGCAGUAACGCCGUAACUCUGGAAUAGUGGUGUUGAAGCUCUUCAGUCAUUUGACAGCUCAAUUAAACUCAGGAUCCCCAUUUAUAAUUUAAUUUGGAAGUGCACCCAAAAGCAAAGAUGAAGUUGCAAAGCUACCUCAGAUUUGCAUGCUCAUAUUCUACUGUAAAGUGGGGGAAAUAAUGUUUAUAAGCCCCUUCCGUGGCUUUGAAACUCUUACCUUGAGUAUUGAUUUGGCCCUCUCUUGGGCUGAAAGUUUUCGUUGCUUUCAAACCUCAACAAAGCAGAGGUACCUAUUUGUUUUCAAGGAAUUUGUUUUCUUGGUGUUUCCAAUUCCACUGCUUCUCGAAAAGCGAAUCUUACAAUCAUAAAAAUUGUUGGAACCAGUGAGGUUCCCGCUUAUGUGUGCUUUAAUUUGACGUGGAAGAGAAAAGCUUGUUAGUGUUUUAUUCCCCAAAAAUUGAGCCUAUAGGUGUAUAUAUAUGUAUAUUUAAAUUUAAGUAAUUACUGUGUGUUUUCCCACAUAUUAAUAGAAGGUAUUAGUCAUGUCACAGCUUUCCUAUGCUUCUCUUUGCUGUAGAGUCUCUAUGUGGCAUAGCCUUGAAUGGGUUUGUGCUCAUAUCCCACUGAAAUAAAGAACUAUUGUUAUCCCAUUUUAGGCGAGACCGAGGCAUGGAGACGUGACUGUGCAAGGUCACACAGCAAGGCUAUGGCAGAACCAGGGAUAGGACUCAGAUCUGAGUGCUCAUCCAGUGCCCUAAAUCACACGACCAUCUUUCCUUUUCAAGAAUGAAUCCUUGCACCCUUAGAGAUAAAUACUGAAAAGAUUGAGGCUGCAUUUUUGAGGAGGGAGAGCGAGAUGGCUAGGCUUGCAGUAACACGUUGUGUCGUCAUAAAUGCUACAGCCACCAUCUGUUUCCAGCCCACGACUUGAAAGAAAACUGAGCAGUAAUCUCGUAAUUCACAUGAGCGUUUUACACUUGUGAACCCUUCCCAACCUUUGUCUAAUAACGAGGGGAGUGCAUGGUGCUAAGGUUUGUAUUUUUCCUGCGUGUAUUAGUGUUUAUUUGUAUGUCUCUUUCUGUAUAUUUUAUUUUAUUUUGUUCCACGGUCCCAAUUAAAAAAAAAAAAAGUUAUCUGGAAGGAAAAUCAGACCAGUUCCACAGUCAAAAGAAACAUAACGAAGGUGAAGUCCCAAUUCCACUGACCUUGCUGGCAGAAUUCUCCAGGAGGAGGUGCGUUUAACAUUCCUCGCUGUGUCUGUUUUAGUUACCUGUUGAUUAAAAGAAAGACAUUAGAAAGUGAAGAGGCAGGUUGCCGAGCUGCCCUUUCCCUACAGAAACAGAACUGCUAGAAUAGCUGGACAUGCGCAUUUUAAAUCUGCACCAUCAGAUAGGAUGGUAAUGGUAGGUUGGAUUUUAAUGAAAACAAAUUCUUCUGCUAAUCUUGGUUCCGGGCUGGCCCUCCGUGGGAUUAAGGAUACCACCUGCUGUGCCAAAGUCCUGCUCAGGUUUGAGGCUGCUGGUGGGUGGGAAGAGCACAAACAUCAGAGUGGCUGGUGAGCAAUCACAGUCUGUCCUUUUGCAGUGCCCUCAGGAAAGGCAAAGAUUACUUAGUUGAUGGAAAUAGUGCUCCUCUUCAGCCUGCAAAGCAAGGCUAACAUCAUUAAGGAUUUCUUUUUGACUGUUCAGCAACACCAAGGGCUGCUGUUUCUGUGGACCUCCUUUCGUCUUGGACCCAAUUUGCACUCCUGCUCCUAGCACAGCCGAAGCGGCUGCGUAACUCCUGCACUCCUCUGGCCUUAGGAACGAUGACUUCCAUCAUCUCAACGAGACUGCAGAGCAGUUUAAGGAUGCAACGGCUUCUCAUUUCGUAUACCCCAUUGCUGCUAGAACUGUAAAUCUUUGUUGGACUGGGUUUAUAGCAAGCUGCUGCUGCAAGCAAGUGAAAUGCAUUUUCUGCUGUCACAUGUAUGGUCAAACUGUUCAAAAAGUUGCCAAACAAAGAACUGAGCUCCGGAUGGAAAACCAAUUCAAUCUCUUUACAUUUUAUUGAAAAAUAAUAAAUAACUCUUCAGGCCGAUGGGUCAGUCAUGUAGAUUUCUGUAUCAUUUUCUUACAGGAUGAAGCGGUCGGGAAGGCUACCUUACUUUUGUCUUUUAUCCAGACUAAUUGGUUAUGGACAAGGGGUGCUGAGAGCUGUCAGACUAACGCGCCUCUCCCCUCUUACUCCUCCUAUCCUGCCAGGUUUGGUCCCUGCUGCCUCCCACCCCUUUGCCCAUAGGCCCAUCUGAGGUGUCUGCCUGCACACGUGCUGCUCAGAGCCCUCUCUCAGUGCCAUGUCCCUUGGUAUCCUUGGAGGUACAAGCAGCUUUCCCAAGGCUGGUUUUCACAUGAGAGGGGGCACACGAAGGGCAGUGGCAGGGAAGGUCUCCGAAAUGAAAUUCCCAGGAACAGGAUUUGCACAUUUUAUGACUGGUCGGAUAGAAAUGCAAUGGAGCUGAAUUAUUACUCCUUAAUCCUGCUUUCUCACUUUCCUCCCAGCAGCCUCCUCCCCUCAAUCUUAGGUAAUACAGAAGCUUAUAAACAAAUCCCACUGCAUGAAAAAUAGCAAAGAGGGGGAAAAAAGGACCUCGGUUAGGGCUGUGAUGGAUAGACAGGUGGAAGGCAGGCACCAGAAAGGACUAUGAAUGGUAAAAGCCUUUGAUGGAAACACUAAAGAGCUAUUGAAAAUCCAGGGGGUGGGGGGAGGGAGGAGAAAGAAUAGCAGGAGGAGGGAAAGCAAGGGAGCCUGCCCCCCUCCCCUCCACCCUCUUUCUCAGGAUGUUGAAAGUAUUUGUCCUUCGUUACAAAAUGAUUGAACCGCCGCCAGGCCAGGCCACCCUUCCAGCCACUGCACUGGGAAGCUGGCACUUCUGAAAGCCUUGUUGCCUCUCAAAUUUUAUAGCUUUCCCCUUUGUGGGAGUUUUUGUUUUGUGCUCCUGGCAGGAUUGUUUUCAGUUUUGCUGCAUAUCAAAGAAACUAUAUUUUGCUGCUCUGACCAACACAGAAGCCAGGUAAUGAAAGAAAGAAUUAAAGAAUUGAGGCCCAUUUUUAUCAGAAUAUCCAGCCUUUAAUUGAGUCGGAAUUUUGUGCAUUUGGUAUUCAUUAUAUUACAUUAAUAUUCUUUUGCUUCAUCUCUAUCACUUUUUGAAAGAGGAAUUUUGUCCUGUAAAUAAAGCUUCAACCUUACUGAAGUCUCAAUGUGUACCAAAGCAACGCCUGUUCUUCAUAGCUGUGAACAGUGAGAGUGAUAUUGCCAUGUCAUCACUGAAGUGUUGGUUUGUUUUUUUUUGCAAUAGACAUGCACAGGAGAAAAGGCAAUGUUUCCCCUUUUUGGAAUGGUCUCGGAGCUUCUGGGAUCUCCUACAUUUGUCUACAGAUGGAGAGGACUACAUAAGAGAUUGUUGCUGCUGCUAGAGGCUGUAUUUAUAUCGUGUACUUAUGUGCAUAUGUAUUUAUGUUAUCUUGGGAAGGACUAAAGCCAUGUGCAUGCUCUGAGAAUGAGGUCUGGCUGUCUGGAUGGCCAUCCUCCACCCACAGCCUUGUUAACCAGGAGGUGACCCAGGGCCACGAUGUGUGAGUGAUGCCACCCACGUGCCACUGCUGUCAGGGUAAGCUGGGUGUCCUUGUCCUGGAGGGGUGAGAGGAGCCUCACCUCACUGUGCUUAGCAGUGCGGGGUGGGCGCAUCAGCUGCAUCACCCCAAGGGCACUGCUCUGUGCAAACAGCACUGGCAAUCAGCUGUUCUUUGCCUCCAAGAUUAGAUCCUGGGAUUAGGACUCCGACGAGCUGGCCACGCUGGAUCAUCAAAAUAGUCCCAGGAAAGGCAAUAUGCAACACAUACAGCUGAUUUUUUCACUGCGUCGAAAAGAAAAUCUCUGAUGAAAUAACUUUGCAAUAGCACUUUCCACCUGCAUGUCUUCAGUGCUGCAGUUUGCAGUGCCCCCAAGGGAGCUUACCCUGCUUACCCCACCUCCAAGCAAAGAGAAAGGGAUGACCUGCUCCUUUCAUCUUUUAAACUGAGCACCGGAUCAUCAGGCUAUGGAGCAACCACAGAGAUGGCAGGGGUCAGAGCCAAUGUAGAGCCUCAAGUCCAACACUGUCAGAGCUGGCGUCAGCCUCCUGCCUCUCCAGUAAGCCCACACCCACCUCAGCUUCUCUAGAUUUUACUGGAAAUAGCGAUGUCUGCUUCUUGUGAGCCUGGUAAGAACUACCUGCCAUGUUCAGCCAAUGUAAAACCCCAUAAAUUAAUUCACCAGCUUUAUUCCUGGAGAACUGUUUAAUGCUCAGCUUCUCCAUUGCUGCACUUUCAGUUUAUUUUAACGAUGGUGCCUCGCUCUCAGUUUCACCACACACGUCCUCUAUUUUGCUAAAAAUGUACUGAUGAACAUGAGCUGUAUUACCAGAAAUCACGUUCCAGUUCCUGUUCCUUGGCUCAUUUCUCCCUCAUUUCCCAUUACCUUCCUAUUUUAAGACCGAAUGCAUGACAUACCUGUCAGCUAGAUCCACUCAAAUAUUUAUCCAGUAAUUUAAUCAGUGAAUUUCAUGGUAGAUUGCUGACUACAUUGACGAUUUUCUCCUCGUUCACAUAGCAGCACGUAAGGGAGCUGGAAUACUGUGGGCUCUUGCAGGAGAUGUAUGAACUCAAUGAAAUUUAUAAAUUGUAAGGAAUUUCUCCCUUGACACCUGCGAGGUGCCUCAGCCAGCUGCUGCACUAAGGCAGCACUGGAAAGCACCUGAGAUGGAUCAAACUUGGACAUUGAUGUGACCCUGU